rnacentral:rRNA from 1 species
AUUGAACGCUGGCGGCAGGCCUAACACAUGCAGGUCGAGCGGAUGAAGGGAGCUUGCUCCUGGAUUCAGCGGCGGACGGGUGAGUAAUGCCUAGGAAUCUGCCUGGUAGUGGGGGAUAACGUCCGGAAACGGGCGCUAAUACCGCAUACGUCCUGAGGGAGAAAGUGGGGGAUCUUCGGACCUCACGCUAUCAGAUGAGCCUAGGUCGGAUUAACUAGUUGGUGGGGUAAAGGCCUACCAAGGCGACGAUCCGUAACUGGUCUGAGAGGAUGAUCAGUCACACUGGAACUGAGACACGGUCCAGACUCCUACGGGAGGCAGCAGUGGGGAAUAUUGGACAAUGGGCGAAAGCCUGAUCCAGCCAUGCCGCGUGUGUGAAGAAGGUCUUCGGAUUGUAAAGCACUUUAAGUUGGGAGGAAGGGCAGUAAGUUAAUACCUUGCUGUUUUGUCGUUACCAACAGAAUAAGCACCGGCUAACUUCGUG